CGGGACACGUGGUAUCCUGUCUGAAUAUGGGGGGACCAUCCUCCAAGGCUAAAUACUCCUGACUGACCGAUAGUGAACCAGUACCGUGAGGGAAAGGCGAAAAGAACCCCGGCGAGGGGAGUGAAAAAGAACCUGAAACCGUGUACGUACAAGCAGUGGGAGCACGCUUAGGCGUGUGACUGCGUACCUUUUGUAUAAUGGGUCAGCGACUUAUAUUCUGUAGCAAGGUUAACCGAAUAGGGGAGCCGAAGGGAAACCGAGUCUUAACUGGGCGUUAAGUUGCAGGGUAUAGACCCGAAACCCGGUGAUCUAGCCAUGGGCAGGUUGAAGGUUGGGUAACACUAACUGGAGGACCGAACCGACUAAUGUUGAAAAAUUAGCGGAUGACUUGUGGCUGGGGGUGAAAGGCCAAUCAAACCGGGAGAUAGCUGGUUCUCCCCGAAAGCUAUUUAGGUAGCGCCUCGUGAAUUCAUCUCCGGGGGUAGAGCACUGUUUCGGCAAGGGGGUCAUCCCGACUUACCAACCCGAUGCAAACUGCGAAUACCGGAGAAUGUUAUCACGGGAGACACACGGCGGGUGCUAACGUCCGUCGUGAAGAGGGAAACAACCCAGACCGCCAGCUAAGGUCCCAAAGUCAUGGUUAAGUGGGAAACGAUGUGGGAAGGCCCAGACAGCCAGGAUGUUGGCUUAGAAGCAGCCAUCAUUUAAAGAAAGCGUAAUAGCUCACUGGUCGAGUCGGCCUGCGCGGAAGAUGUAACGGGGCUAAACCAUGCACCGAAGCUGCGGCAGCGACGCUGAUGCGUUGUUGGGUAGGGGAGCGUUCUGUAAGCCUGUGAAGGUGUGCUGUGAGGCAUGCUGGAGGUAUCAGAAGUGCGAAUGCUGACAUAAGUAACGAUAAAGCGGGUGAAAAGCCCGCUCGCCGGAAGACCAAGGGUUCCUGUCCAACGUUAAUCGGGGCAGGGUGAGUCGACCCCUAAGGCGAGGCCGAAAGGCGUAGUCGAUGGGAAACAGGUUAAUAUUCCUGUACUUGGUGUUACUGCGAAGGGGGGACGGAGAAGGCUAUGUUGGCCGGGCGACGGUUGUCCCGGUUUAAGCGUGUAGGCUGGUUUUCCAGGCAAAUCCGGAAAAUCAAGGCUGAGGCGUGAUGACGAGGCACUACGGUGCUGAAGCAACAAAUGCCCUGCUUCCAGGAAAAGCCUCUAAGCAUCAGGUAACAUCAAAUCGUACCCCAAACCGACACAGGUGGUCAGGUAGAGAAUACCAAGGCGCUUGAGAGAACUCGGGUGAAGGAACUAGGCAAAAUGGUGCCGUAACUUCGGGAGAAGGCACGCUGAUAUGUAGGUGAAGCGACUUGCUCGUGGAGCUGAAAUCAGUCGAAGAUACCAGCUGGCUGCAACUGUUUAUUAAAAACACAGCACUGUGCAAACACGAAAGUGGACGUAUACGGUGUGACGCCUGCCCGGUGCCGGAAGGUUAAUUGAUGGGGUCAGCGCAAGCGAAGCUCUUGAUCGAAGCCCCGGUAAACGGCGGCCGUAACUAUAACGGUCCUAAGGUAGCGAAAUUCCUUGUCGGGUAAGUUCCGACCUGCACGAAUGGCGUAAUGAUGGCCAGGCUGUCUCCACCCGAGACUCAGUGAAAUUGAACUCGCUGUGAAGAUGCAGUGUACCCGCGGCAAGACGGAAAGACCCCGUGAACCUUUACUAUAGCUUGACACUGAACAUUGAGCCUUGAUGUGUAGGAUAGGUGGGAGGCUUUGAAGUGUGGACGCCAGUCUGCAUGGAGCCGGCCUUGAAAUACCACCCUUUAAUGUUUGAUGUUCUAACGUUGACCCGUGAUCCGGGUUGCGGACAGUGUCUGGUGGGUAGUUUGACUGGGGCGGUCUCCUCCUAAAGAGUAACGGAGGAGCACGAAGGUUGGCUAAUCCUGGUCGGACAUCAGGAGGUUAGUGCAAUGGCAUAAGCCAGCUUGACUGCGAGCGUGACGGCGCGAGCAGGUGCGAAAGCAGGUCAUAGUGAUCCGGUGGUUCUGAAUGGAAGGGCCAUCGCUCAACGGAUAAAAGGUACUCCGGGGAUAACAGGCUGAUACCGCCCAAGAGUUCAUAUCGACGGCGGUGUUUGGCACCUCGAUGUCGGCUCAUCACAUCCUGGGGCUGAAGUAGGUCCCAAGGGUAUGGCUGUUCGCCAUUUAAAGUGGUACGCGAGCUGGGUUUAGAACGUCGUGAGACAGUUCGGUCCCUAUCUGCCGUGGGCGCUGGAGAAC
rnacentral:rRNA from 1 species